CUGGUAUUGCGAUAACGCAAAGAACGAGCAACGUCUCUGACGAGAAGAGACCGAGCCAUCUUUUUUCGUGUGUGUGUGUCUUCUUUGCCAGGGCUCCCGUGUGGAGAAUACACUUCGUCUGAAGAGAGCCCCAUCUCGGCUUCUAGAAGCAACAAUUCACCGAAGACCAGCUUUAAAAAAAAACAUUUAAAAAAAAAAACCCAUUUGCCCUGCCUGGUGAGGGAAGCACGUCGCUCCCCGUGAAGUGCAAGCGCAGCAAUUCCACCGCUCCCGCUGCAGCCCAUCUCCCGCCAUUGUAUGGCGGGGUUAAAAAUGGCUGUUCCCCCCACCCCGUCCUUUACCCCCCACCCCCACCCCGGUCCUAAAAACUAAUCCGCCUCGCUACGUCGACUCCGAGCGGCCGGAGGAAGCCGAGAAAUCCCCGAGAAAUCGAAAGCAGGCUACCCUUUUGCAUUUGCACGGUGGGAAAUCCGGCGGUGCGAAGGACGCCCGGGCUCCUUCGCCUCGGCGGAUUAUUCCGUAAUCCUCAAGAGAAACCGAGAAAGGCUCCCGGGACUCGCUUCUGCGCCAAUUUGGGGCUCUGGAGGAACUCGUACGCGGUCAAGGGGACCGGAGUGAACUGAGGAUCGCAAUCGCUCGGCGUGCGCGGGCUGCACUUCUUGUUUCUUCUGCUUGGGUUUGCAAUAAAAUCGCCGCGCUGGUUGGCGGGGAAAGGCGCCGGACGCUGCUCCUUUUGGAUUUAGGAUUGCAAAACGGGGGGUAAAGUGGGCGUAAGGAAAAAAACAAGAACGUCGGCCUGCUUGGAUUGGAUCUGCGCCCCCCCCCCCUUUGCUGGAUCCCGAGCACGAGGCGCGUGGAACCGCGAAUCCGGAACCUUCCUUCCACUGGCUGCUUUUCCCUGCUGCUAGCCCGUCAGGCGCGGUGGCCAAGUGGUAAGGCGUCGGUCUCGUAAACCGAAGAUCGCGGGUUCGAACCCCGUCCGUGCCUCACGUUGGACGGCGCAGCGUCUCGGGGCUUGUUAUGAAAGGGAAUGAAGUGGGAUUUCCUUUCUCGGGCCACUUUUUACUCAGGUUCCCUAAUGGAGGAAAAAAUACCAAGCGGAAAUGGAGAAGGAAGACGGGCCUUAGCCCGUGAAGGAGGAGGAGGGGAGGGAAUGCGAGAUUGGGUAAAUUGAAGACAGAAGAGGAUUCCCCUUGCAGAAACAGGGAUUAACAAUCCCGAGAAGAGGAAACUGAAACGCGUUUCCUAUGGGGAAACUAGUGCUGUCGGGCCUGAAUUGCAGAAGUCCCCAAAAAAAGAUAACGGACGCCGUGACUGCCAUCUAGUGGCCGUCCGCGUAUUUCCAGCGUAAAUCUGUUAAAUUUCCAGAACUGCCAGAAUGUCAGGACGGGUGGCGGAGGAACGAUUUCUUACCGACGAUUUUAAAAGGCGGUUACCAAAAAGGGAACCGUCACUUGCACCGUGUUUCCUCCGUGGUGCGGCGGUGCACGGGAAAUGGCCUUCGCUUCCAGUUUUCCUUUAGUGGCGGCGCAAGACUUGCAAAUGAAAAGCCUCAGCAGCCCAGCCUUCUCCUCUUUGCAUCUGAAAGGAGAACAGCCGGGCACAUUGCUGCCUGAGUUGCUCUGCCAACGGGAUUAGGAUUUCCUAACGGCGGGGCUGCGGGAUCUUCAGGCAAAUAAGCACAACAUUGCAUCGCUCUUUCCGGGGAGAGUGGGGGGAGACAUGUCAUAUUGCACUAAAGAAGAGGAAAGCCGACUUCUCAGUCCGAAAGAACUUGGGUCGUGAUGAAUGCCGUCAUUUCUCCCCCCUCCCCCUCCAAAUGGAGGGGUUAAAUGUGGACAUGGAGGAAGAGACUCAGAAAGCCAGUCUUAAGAAGUCCCUGAAAUGUCCAAAGAUUGCCAUUGAAAGUUUCUCAUUAUGCCACUGAAUUGGCAUAAUUGGAUGAAGAAGGAGGAUAUCCCACCUCAGGUUAGUAACUUGUUUUUAAUCAGCUUGGAGAGACAGUUUUAUUCGGGAUGAAAUGUUAUAGUAAGGGCUGAAUAAAGGGGGAAAGGCCAAAGAGAUAGUGGGGUGCCUUGUUCCUUGUGCUCUGCAACCCAACCAUGUUCUGACCGGAUGACUCAGCAGACCGAGCUCAAUCUACAAACACCGACAAGGCAGAGAAUCUGGAAAGCAGCCUAGAAUUUGCCUGUAGUUUCCAAUCCAGUGAUCUGGGCCUUCCCCCUUCCUCUUCUUUGCCCCAUCACCGAUUAAUAAAGAGCAGUCUUGCCUGCCCAGUAGCACCCAAACUGCAUCCCUCACACACGAAGCAAAAGGUUAAUGUGGAGAAGAUAUAAAAAGCUCAGGGAUUAUGAUUUAAACUGCUCAACAAAUAUAUUACUUUUUUAUUCAAUCUCAAGGAAGCUCAGGCUCCCCCACCCUGCCCCAAAUACUAUUUAUAUAACCGCUCUGUUAAAUUCGAUUGAGAAACUGUUUGGAUGUUAAAACAUACAGAAGUGUACAGUCAUGCAAAUACAUACUUAGGGCUACUUCUUUGUUCAAAUAAAGAUGACUGAGCAGAAUCUGUAA